rnacentral:rRNA from 1 species
UACAGAGGGUGCAAGCGUUAUUCGAAAUUAUUGGGCGUAAAGCGCGAGUAGGUGGUGAGGUAAGUUCUGUGUGAAAGCCUCGGGCUUAACCCGAGAAGGUCAUGGAAUACUGCCUCGCUAGAGUGCAUGAGAGGAGAGCGGAAUUCCCAGUGUAGAGGUGAAAUUCGUAGAUAUUGGGAGGAACACCGGUGGCGAAAGCGGCUCUCUGGCAUGCUACUGACACUCAGUCGCGAAGGCGUGGGGAUCAAACAGG